UACGUAGGGGGCUAGCGUUGUCCGGAAUUAUUGGGCGUAAAGAGCGUGUAGGCGGCCCGGUAAGUCCGCUGUGAAAGUCGGGGGCUCAACCCUCGAAUGCCGGUGGAUACUGUCGGGCUAGAGUGCGGAAGAGGCGAGUGGAAUUCCUGGUGUAGCGGUGAAAUGCGCAGAUAUCAGGAGGAACACCAAUUGCGAAGGCAGCUCGCUGGGACGUAACUGACGCUGAGACGCGAAAGCGUGGGGAGCAAACAGG
rnacentral:rRNA from 1 species